rnacentral:rRNA from 1 species
AUUGAACGCUGGCGGCAGGCCUAACACAUGCAAGUCGAACGAGUGGCGGACGGGUGAGUAAUGUCUGGGAAACUGCCUGCUGGAGGGGGAUAACUACUGGAAAAGGUAGCUAAUACCGCAUACCAUCAGAUGUGCCCAGAUGGGAUUAGCUAGUUGGUGGGGUAACGGCUCACCAAGGCGACGAUCCCUAGCUGGUGUGAGAGGAUGACGAGCCACACUGGAACUGAGACAAGGUCCCGCGUCCGACGGGAGGCAGCAGUGGUGAAUAGUGCACAAUGGGAGCAAGCCUUAUGCAGCAAUGCCGCGUGUAUGAAGAAGGCCUUCGGGUUGUAAAGUACUUUCAGCGGGGAGGCGUUACCCGCAGAAGAAGCACCGGCUAACUCCGUGCCAGCAGCCGCGGUAAUUC